CCUACGGGUGGCAGCAGUCGAGAAUCAUUCACAAUGGGGGAAACCCUGAUGGUGCGACGCCGCGUGGGGGAAUGAAGGUCUUCGGAUUGUAAACCCCUGUCAUGUAGGAGCAAAUUAAAAAGAUAGUACCACAAGAGGAAGAGACGGCUAACUCUGUGCCAGCAGACGCGGUAAUCCAGAGGUCUCAAGCGUUGUUCGGAAUCACUGUGCGUAAAGCGGGCGUAGGCUGUUUCGUAAGUCGUGUGUGAAAGGCGCGGGAGCAACCCGAGGACGGCCAAUGUUAAUGCGAGACUAUAGUAAUGGAGGGGGAACCGGAAUUCUCGGUGUAGCAGUGAAAUGCGUAGAUAGCGAGAGGAACACUCGUGGCGAAGGCGGGUUCCUGGACAUUAACUGACGCUGAGGCACGAAGGCCAGGGGAGCGAAAGGGAUUAGAUACCCGUGUAGUC
rnacentral:rRNA from 1 species